CAAUGCCCUCCGGGGCUCUUUGGUGAUUCAUAAUAACUUCUCGAAUCGCAUGGCCUUGUGCCGGCGAUGGUUCAUUCAAAUUUCUGCCCUAUCAACUUUCGAUGGCAGGGUCUUGGCCUGCCAUGGUUACAACGGGUAACGGAGGGUUAGGGCUCGACCCCGGAGAAGGAGCCUGAGAAACGGCUACUACAUCCAAGGAAGGCAGCAGGCGCGCAAAUUACCCAAUCCCGAUUCGGGGAGGUAGUGACAAUAAAUACUGAUACAGGGCUCUUUCGGGUCUUGUAAUUGGAAUGAGUACAAUUUAAAUCCCUUAACGAGGAACAAUUGGAGGGCAAGUCUGGUGCCAGCAGCCGCGGUAAUUCCAGCUCCAAUAGCGUAUAUUAAAGUUGUUGCAGUUAAAAAGCUCGUAGUUGAACCUUGGGCCUGGCUGGCCGGUCCGCCUCACCGCGUGCACUGGUUCGGCCGGGCCUUUCCCUCUGGGGAUCCCCAUGCCCUUCACUGGGUGUGGCGGGGAACCAGGACUUUUACUGUGAAAAAAUUAGAGUGUUCAAAGCAGGCCUAUGCUCGAAUACAUUAGCAUGGAAUAAUAAAAUAGGACGUGCGGUUCUAUUUUGUUGGUUUCUAGGACCGCCGUAAUGAUUAAUAGGGACAGUCGGGGGCAUCAGUAUUCAAUUGUCAGAGGUGAAAUUCUUGGAUUUAUUGAAGACUAACUACUGCGAAAGCAUUUGCCAAGGAUGUUUUCAUUAAUCAGGAACGAAAGUUAGGGGAUCGAAGACGAUCAGAUACCGUCGUAGUCUUAACCAUAAACUAUGCCGACUAGGGAUCGGACGAAGUUAUUUAUUGACUCGUUCGGCACCUUACGAGAAAUCAAAGUCUUUGGG
rnacentral:rRNA from 1 species